rnacentral:rRNA from 1 species
CACUCCUACGGGAGGCAGCAGUGGGGAAUAUUGCACAAUGGGCGCAAGCCUGAUGCAGCGACGCCGCGUGGGGGAUGAAGGCCUUCGGGUUGUAAACUCCUUUCGCUAGGGCCGAAGCUUUUUUGUGACGGUACCUAGAUAAGAAGCACCGGCUAACUACGUGCCAGCAGCCGCUGUAAUACGUAGGGGGUGAGCGUUGUCCGGAAUUACUGGGCGUAAAGGGCUCGUAGGUGGUUUGUCGCGUCGUCUGUGAAAUUCUGGGGCUUAACUCCGGGCGUGCAGGCGAUACGGGCAUAACUUGAGUGCUGUAGGGGUAACUGGAAUUCCUGGUGUAGCGGUGAAAUGCGCAGAUAUCAGGAGGAACACCGAUGGCGAAGGCAGGUUACUGGGCAGUUACUGACGCUGAGGAGCGAAAGCAUGGGUAGCGAACAGGAUUAGAAACCCUUGUAGUCCCAUG